rnacentral:rRNA from 1 species
AUUGAACGCUGGCGGCAUGCCUUACACAUGCAAGUCGAACGGUAACAGGUCUUCGGAUGCUGACGAGUGGCGAACGGGUGAGUAAUACAUCGGAACGUGCCUAGUAGUGGGGGAUAACUACUCGAAAGAGUGGCUAAUACCGCAUGAGAUCUACGGAUGAAAGCAGGGGAUCGCAAGACCUUGUGCUACUAGAGCGGCCGAUGGCAGAUUAGGUAGUUGGUGGGAUAAAAGCUUACCAAGCCGACGAUCUGUAGCUGGUCUGAGAGGACGAUCAGCCACACUGGGACUGGGACACGGCCCAGACUCCUACGGGAGGCAGCAGUGGGGAAUUUUGGACAAUGGGCGCAAGCCUGAUCCAGCAAUGCCACGUGCAGGAUGAAGGCCUUCGGGUUGUAAACUGCUUUUGUACGGAACGAAAAGCCCUGGGUUAAUACCCUGGGGUCAUGACGGUACCGUAAGAAUAAGCACCGGCUAACUACGUGCCAGCCGCCGCAGUAACAC